rnacentral:rRNA from 1 species
ACCUGAGGGUAAAACUUUAUAGGGAAUAUCAUCUGGAAGGAGAUAUUCUUCAAACGUAAGGCCAUAUGAUGAGACUGCGGCGGAUUAGAUUGUUGGUAGGGUAGCGGCCUACCAAGUCUACGAUCCGUACGGGCCUUGGAAGAGGUAACCCGGAGAGGGACACUGAGAAACUGGUCCCAGCCCCACGGGGUGCAGCAGGCGCGAAACCUUUACAAUGCACGAAAGUGUGAUAGGGGAACUCAAAGUGCUUAUACAAUGUAUAGGCUUUUGCCAAGUGAAAACAGCUUGGCGAAUAAGUGGUGGGUAAGACUGGUGCCAGCCGCCGCGGUAACACCAGCGCCACGAGUGGGAAUCGGUAUUAUUGGGCCUAAAGCGUCCGUAGCAGGUUUGGUAAAUUGCUUGUGAAAUCGGGUAGCUCAACUAUUCGGAAUGCAGGUAGGACUGCCAAACUAGAGACCGGGAGACGUUGGAGGUAUUCAAGGGGGAGCGGUAAAAUGCGAGAAUCCCUUGAGGACCACCUGUUGCGAAGGCGUCCAACAAUAACGGGUCUGACUGUGAGGGACUAAAGCUAGGGGAGCGAACUGGAUUAGAUACCCAAGUAGUCCUAGCCCUAAACGCUGUGAGUUAGGUGUUGUACAAUCUUCGGGAUUGUGCAGUAUCGUAGCGAAGGCGUUAAACUCACCGCCUGGGAAGUACGUUCGCAAGAAUGAAACUUAAAGGAAUUGGCGGGGGAGCACCACAAGGGGUGCGGCGUGCGGUUUAAUUG